rnacentral:rRNA from 1 species
AGGCCGGCUAUCUUCAAGUCAAGUCCCAAUGGGUGGGCGACACGGCCACAAGGAACGGCAUCGCAGGUUGAGGAAGAGCAGGACUCUGAUGAAGAUGAUGAUAUGCCGCCACUUGAGGCAAACACGAACAGAAAUAGACCGUUUGACGUGCAUUCCGAUACAGAAAUAGACCUCUAG